CCUACGGGUGGCAGCAGUGAGGAAUAUUGGUCAAUGGACGAGAGUCUGAACCAGCCAAGCAGCGUGAAGGAUGAAGGUCCUACGGAUUGUAAACUUCUUUUAUAAGGGAAUAAAACCUCCCACGUGUGGGAGCUUGUAUGUACCUUAUGAAUAAGCAUCGGCUAACUCCGUGCCAGCAGCCGCGGUAAUACGGAGGAUGCGAGCGUUAUCCGGAUUUAUUGGGUUUAAAGGGAGCGCAGACGGGUCGUUAAGUCAGCUGUGAAAGUUUGGGGCUCAACCUUAAAAUUGCAGUUGAUACUGGCGUCCUUGAGUGCGGUUGAGGUGUGCGGAAUUCGUGGUGUAGCGGUGAAAUGCUUAGAUAUCACGAAGAACUCCGAUUGCGAAGGCAGCACACUAAGCCGUAACUGACGUUCAUGCUCGAAAGUGUGGGUAUCAAACAGGAUUAGAUACCCCUGUAGUC
rnacentral:rRNA from 1 species